ensembl:lncRNA
CUUGGUGCGGAGGGUGAGCAGCGCGGAGUUCUUAUGCCGGCGGGGACCGGCGCUGCGAGGCCACGGCGGGAAGCCGCGCUCUGAAGCGGUGGCCGGAGCUGCCCGGCCGUUCCCGCCGGCCGUGCGGGCGGGCGCUGCUGGAGGAGCUCGCUGCCCGGCCAAGGUGUGCGCGGGUCCCAGGAGCUGCCGGGCGGCCACCGGGGCGAGGUGAGCUCCUGGUCUGACGAGAAGUAGUCGUGCUGACGCGGGACGGGCGGCACCGUGCAGUAAUACCCGUCUGCGAGGAUCGCCGGAGUACGAGUGAAGGCGGAAGGGCGGCCGUGCAGGCGCAGCCCGCUCAGUGUGCUUCUUUAAAGGCGGCGUUACUGUGCGGCAGCGACGCGUGUGAGAGGCUGCCGGUACGGACUGCCUGCCGGGAUCUCCAUCAGUGUCUGAAAUGCGGAUCUUGAGAUGAGUGGGGAGAUGGUGCUGCAGGGGACUCCUUUAUUGGAAGUGCAACUGAGAAUAUCAGACCCAGUUGAGAGCAGUG